rnacentral:rRNA from 1 species
UACGGAGGGUGCAAGCGUUAUCCGGAUUCACUGGGUUUAAAGGGUGCGUAGGCGGGCAGGUAAGUCCGUGGUGAAAUCUCUGAGCUUAACUCAGAAACUGCCAUGGGUACUAUUUGUCUUGAAUAUUGUGGAGGCAAGCGGAAUAUGUCAUGUAGCGGUGAAAUGCUUAGAUAUGACAUAGAACACCCAUUGCGAAGGCAGCUUGCUACACAAUGAUUGACGCUGAGGCACGAAAGCGUGGGGAUCAAACAGG